CAGUAGCCGCGGUAAUACAGAGGGUGCGAGCGUUAAUCGGAUUUACUGGGCGUAAAGCGUGCGUAGGCGGCUUCUUAAGUCGGAUGUGAAAUCCCUGAGCUUAACUUAGGAAUUGCAUUCGAUACUGGGAAGCUAGAGUAUGGGAGAGGAUGGUAGAAUUCCAGGUGUAGCGGUGAAAUGCGUAGAGAUCUGGAGGAAUACCGAUGGCGAAGGCAGCCAUCUGGCCUAAUACUGUCGCUGAGGUACGAAAGCAUGGGGAGCAAACAGGAUUAGAUACCCGCGUAGUCCCUGUCUCUUAUAC
rnacentral:rRNA from 1 species